CCCUGAGAUUCAUGUUUUCAUUGCUUGUUUGAUACAGUGGCAGAAAACCAAAGUGACAGUGAUAUUAACCAGUUCUGAGUGGUCAUUCUCACUCAUCAUCAAACCAAGGCCUGGGCUGGCUCACUCCUAGAGUGUGUACAUGCUGAAAUUGGACACUUGGGGUUCACAAGGUUUAGAUAAGCUAUUUGGAUGACUACCACAUGAUGGGUCAAGGACAGUCAUGAAUUCUGAGGGGCAUCUGCUAGAAGGUCACAGAACUCCAGAACUGGGCAGCAAGGCUCUCAGAAGCCUUUAGUUGUGGUUUAAACUAUACUUUGAGGAACCCUCAGAAGAAGCCAGGAGGAGUCCUCUUUCACCUGAAGGGCUGUUCCUCCUGCAUGUGAUUGAUUUAUUUACAUGAUGAUGGAAGAUUUUGUCUGAAUAACAACAUCCAUGACUAAAGCAAACUUGGAAAUCCACUUAUCUCAUCCAAAUCCUUUAUAUUCUGGUGAAGGCCUGAGAAGAGGAGCCAUAAGCCUUCCAAACUUAGAGGCAUUUUAGGUUCUGGGAGAGAGAUGAUUUCUUUCACAAGAGGAGAGAAGGGGAGCUACUGUCAUGGCUCAGUGGUUAACAAACCUGACUAGUAUCCUUGAGGAUGUGGGUUCGAUCCCUGGCCUUGCUCAGUGGGUUAAGGAUCUGGCGUUGCCGUGAGCUAUGGUGUAGGCUGCAGACAAGGUUGGGAUCCUGAGUUGCUAUGGCUGUGGUAUAGGCCAGCAGCUACAGCUCCAAUUCAGCCCCUAGCCUGAGAAGGUCCAUAUGCUGUGGGUACAGCCCUAAAAAGACAAAAGAGGGGAGAAGGGUAAAAAACUAAAACAAAAUAAUGACAUCUAUGUCUACAUAUAUAAUCUCUAUCAUUUACCUUUGUACUGCUUGGUGAUUCUUACAGCCAGGAGAUGUGAAUUAGAUCUGUCUGUAUCCUUCCUGUGGUCAAGAUCACCUUCCUAUUAGACUGAGGGUCAGGUUUAUCUUCCAGCUUCUUUCUAUACCUUUGUGUGUGUGUGUGUGUGUGUGUGUGUGUGUGUGUGCCACUCCCUGCUUUCGAUACUGGCUUCCUUCAGCCUCAGUUGCUGUCCUAUGCCUCCAGGGUUCCUAAAGCAGAAGUGGUGGCCAGGUCUCUUUCCUGGCUAUGACACUGUCUCAAGAGGGGACUCCAUGUUUCCAUCUACUCGGUGUUUCCUUCUAGGAGCAACUUGAGUCUGGUUCUGUUCAGCAUCCUCAGAGAACUUUGUACAAUGCUUCUCAGAUAGGAAAUACUCUGUAAUGUUUGCUGAUUUGCAUCCAUUACUAAAAUUUACAGCAGGGAGAAGGCCCUUGUGAGAUCCUACCAGUUCAUUUUUUUGUUGUUGUUGGUUAUCCAAAGAACACAUUUUUCAAAUCCUAAUUAUCUCACCACUGGAUGGGAAAUAGACACCAUCCCAACUCCCAGGCAAAUACCUUUUCUGGAUGACCCUGGCAGCGUCCCAGGAAUGAGCUCAUUUUUCAGAAGGGGAUUCUUCUCCCAAACAACAAACCCCUGCUUUGGGGAAGAGAACAAGAAAUUCCUUUGGGAUUUCUCUUCUCAAUCUUCUAGAGAGCCAGUCUUCUGCAGGCAGAGAUGGCUUCCAGGCUGUUCAUACAUAAACUGCUGCUGGCGGGCUGGUGGCCUGUUUGAUAUUCUGAGGUCUAGCAAAGAUUUAGCUCCCGGGGGUCACCAAGAGGUCAUGGUCUCAAUGAUUUCCUCUGUUAUUUAUCUUUGGCUUGUGGUAUUGGAGCUUGCCUUUGAUAGAGGGCAUUUCUACCACAACUGCACAGAAUCAAGCACUUCAGUGCUUUGGUUUGAGGUGGAGAAGGGUUGGCUUCUAAUGCUCUGAAUAUGUCCCUGAGUACAUCUGAGAGUAUCUAAUUCUGCCCUUUUCUGAUGAGCAAAUUUAUUUGGGGAGCGGGGGGGGCUUCCAAGGCUCAGGUUAGGAAAGGAAUUGUCCUGGUGAGGUCAGCAGUUUUUAGUUUGAGUAAUUCCAUUUUCAGUUCCUUAAGAGAUACUCCUCUUGCUAUGAGACAGAGAUGAAAGCAGCACUUCUUAGGCCUCUGGGGUGCGUCGUUACUUUCCUGAACUGCUUAUGACUCACUUGCCACCGCCCUCAAUGCAGCCAGGGGACCAUUUAUGCUGAACCAGCCUUUGGAUUUCUCUUCUUAAUGACAGCAAACUUGUGUGGCCAGCUCACAGGUCAACUGCUGGAGCAUCCCAGGACUGGUCAGCUCAGCAGGCUCUUGGGUUUCCCAGGAGGACUCCUCAGCGUGUUUCAUGUGGGUUUGCUAACCCCAUCCUGUUUCAUUAUGAUUUAAGACAACCGUUAUCUCUCAUCUGGGUCAGAAAGUAUGAGUUGCCUAGGAUUUCAACCAUACAUGAGGGGCCUGAAUUAAACACCUAGCAUCGUGGCCUGAAAAACUGGUUGCAACAUGUCCUGUGCUCUCAUUCCCUCAAAAAGUAUCUCACCAAAUGGAAGCAUUUGGUUCUAGAAGUUCCUUUCUGUGUGCUGCUCCAUCUCUGCCACAGAGUGCCAGGACAGACAGUGUGCUGAGCUAUGUCGGGUCUGUCAAAGAAAAUGAUGUGAUGUGUGCUGAAGACAUUGCCAUCUGUGGGAGAAUGCAAUCUAGGCUCGACACAGAAGGAAAAGGAAGUGCUGUUACGUCAGGAAUAUGACCAGUUAGUCAAAUUCCCAGAACAGCCUGUUGCUUCUUACGGUGGCGGAUGUGUCCCAGCCUCUUAGCAGCCCCAGAUUUGAACUAAGGGAGAACUGUUAGGUAUAGGGGCUAGACAGGAAAGAGGAGUGAUAUGUUUUACAUAUUUUCUGGCAGUGGAUUUCUAUAUGAAAUCCAGUUUACUUAGUGUCCUAGGGCACUGAAACAAAAGUUUUAUGAAACAAUACCUAUAUGUCACCAUGUUAUUUUCUUUUUCUGUUCUUUUCCCAUUCUUUGCUAUUUUAAUUUAAAAAAUUCUCAGCUCUCUAAAUUGCUAUUAUGAGCCACUUAUAGGUCAAAGCCCAUAUUUCAAACAACAGCACAGCAUUAGCAUAUAUAAGCAGCAUCCUAGGAAAUUUUAUAUAAUAUGGAUCCCUGGGCCUUUCUCCAGAAAUUCUAAUGUAUCCAGUCUCAGGGCCACCAGAUUUGCAUUUUAUAUUAUGAAAUUCUAAUUUGACCAGUGUGAGAACAGGGAAGUGUUUUGAUCUUUGAUAUAUCCCAAGUGUUUUGAAUGGAGACCCUGAUACAGAAUAGACACUUGAUCAAUGUUGGCUGGAUAAAUGAAUGAAUGAAAAAGUCUACCUAGUGAUUUAAAUUCAAGUGGCCUAGAGAUUACCAUUGUGUUUGAUUUGUCUUCAAUUGUCUUAUUGGAGUUCCUGUCAUGGCUCAGCAGAAAUGAAUCUGACCAGUAUCCAUGAGGAUGCAGCUUCAAUUCAUGGCCUCGCUCAGUGGGUUAAGGAUCCAGCAUUGCUGUGGCUGUGGUACUCUGAGUCUCUGACUUGCUUCAAGUGCCCCCACUGGGUACACCCCUAAAUCUUCUAAUUUGUGCAUUCUCCAAUGCAGAAAUUAUCUAAACGCCUCUGAGUUCUCUGGGAAAAUUUAAAUAAAUUGCAAAUUCCUAGACUUCAGCCCUGGAGGUUCAAUUCCGGUAGAUGGGGGUGUAUGGAAUCUGCAUUCUCCCACCUCAACCCCCACCUCUCUUGCCUUCCUCCAGGUGGCAAUGGCUCAGCCAGGGUUGGGAAGCACAGUUCCUGUGACCUCUCCCCACUGUGGACUAUUCUAGUUAGUAAUCACCCAGACUCUGCUGGAUCACUUCCUGGGAUGGCAGAGAGAAGCCCCCAGAGGUCUGCUGCCCAUUGGAAAGUUCUGCUGGUUAGAAAUUUCUUUUGGUCAUUAGCUUCAGUUUAGCUUUCCUAAUGCUACUGGUCUUGGUUCUGCUCUCUGAAGCACCUUAAAACAAGGUCGAAUGGCAG
rnacentral:lncRNA from 1 species